ACAGCAGUAGCCGCGGGAAUACGGAGGGUGCAAGCGUUAAUCGGAAUUACUGGGCGUAAAGCGCACGCAGGCGGUCUGUCAAGUCAGAUGUGAAAUCCCCGGGCUUAACCUGGGAACUGCAUUUGAAACUGGCAGGCUAGAGUCUUGUAGAGGGGGGUAGAAUUCCAGGUGUAGCGGUGAAAUGCGUAGAGAUCUGGAGGAAUACCGGUGGCGAAGGCGGCCCCCUGGACAAAGACUGACGCUCAGGUGCGAAAGCGUGGGGAGCAAACAGGAUUAGAUACCCCAGUAGUCCCUGUCUCUUAUAC
rnacentral:rRNA from 1 species